CUUUUUCCAAAGGCCAGUUUGAGAAUGAGGAGUCCUGCUGUGGCUGGGGGCUCCAGGGGGCCUCCAGAGGAGUGGGCAGGGUGGUAAGACCCUCUCUGGCCCAGCAGCUGCCUGGCUCUUCUCCAGGGGCUGGGACACUGGGCAGAACACUGGGAGCCUUGCCCACAGCCGCUCGGCCCUCCCUGAACAGAAGGGACAAGUGUGUGUUGGUGGGGACGGUGGGGUGGUCAGAUGUGGGACACAGGCCUCUCUGGGCUCUGGGAGUUGUGUCCUGGGAGACUUAAUAGGACCCAGGAGGGUCCAGAGAGCCUCAGAGCCCAGGGAAGGAGGCAGGGGCUGAGGUGGCUUCUUUACCUGAAGACCAUGGGCAGGUCCCGGAUGCAGGCCCCGUUGUGCUCUGGGAGUUGUUCCUUGGGAAGGGCCUGGGUGAGGCCCUGGGGAAGCCUGGGAGCUCCCUGGAAAAGGGAGAGGGAAAGAAGCCAAGCCUUGAACCCGAAGCUUCUCCACCUUGGGACCCAGGCAGGUCCUGGCUUGACUGCCUUGGCUUGGCAGAGCCACUGGUACUAUAGGAGCCUUGGCCUGCCUAGCCCAGCCGAGGUGGGGGUGAGGGCAGGGUGGAGGUGAGGAGGGUGCAGCCCUUCCCCAGCAAGUAGCAAAGCUCCCUGAGUGGUGAGGCCAGGUGCAGCGUGUGCGUGUGCGUGUGCGUGUGCGUGUGUAUGUGUGUGUCUGGGUUUGCACACGUGCCUGCGCAUGCCUCCAGCUUCACUCAUCUGUAAGAAAUUUCAAAGAAGUCCACAGUGUAGUGGUCUGAAAGCACAAGAGGGCAGAAGGUAAAUGAGGUGCCCAAGCAAAGGGGAUCCGUAAAGGCCGAGCCCCUUGCUUCUGUGUGUGCAGGUGUGAAUGAACCCUGUGAGGGUGGGAAGGGCUGAGGCAGGUCGCCUGUGUGAACCAUGAACCUCAGGCAACUGAGAACACAGCAGAGAAUGGACCUGUGGAUUGAGGCUGAGAGAUUCUUUUGAAAUACUUACUGCAGAUACUGAUCGCCUUCCCAGCCCAGUUCUUCAACAGGCCUUCCCAGUGUACCGAGGGCACUUGGGACAGAAUGGGUGA
rnacentral:lncRNA from 1 species